UGCGUAGGCGGAUCUUUAAGUCAGUGGUGAAAUCCUCCCGCUUAACGGGAGAACUGCCAUUGAUACUAUUGAUCUUGAAUACAGUUGAGGUGGGCGGAAUGUGUCGUGUAGCGGUGAAAUGCUUAGAUAUGACACAGAACACCGAUUGCGAAGGCAGCUCGCUAAACUGUGAUUGACGCUGAGGCACGAAAGCGCGGGGAUCAAACA
rnacentral:rRNA from 1 species